rnacentral:rRNA from 1 species
AUUGAACGCUGGCGGCAUGCUUUACACAUGCAAGUCGAACGGUAACAGGCCGCAAGGUGCUGACGAGUGGCGAACGGGUGCGUAAUGCAUCGGAACGUGCCCAGUCGUGGGGGAUAACUACUCGAGAGAGUAGCUAAUACCGCAUACGAUCUAUGGAUGAAAGCGGGGGACCGUAAGGCCUCGCGCGAUUGGAGCGGCCGAUGUCAGAUUAGGUAGUUGGUGGGGUAAAGGCUCACCAAGCCAACGAUCUGUAGCUGGUCUGAGAGGACGACCAGCCACACUGGGACUGAGACACGGCCCAGACUCCUACGGGAGGCAGCAGUGGGGAAUUUUGGACAAUGGGCGCAAGCCUGAUCCAGCAAUGCCGCGUGCAGGAAGAAGGCCUUCGGGUUGUAAACUGCUUUUGUACGGAACGAAACGGCUCUGGUUAAUACCCGGGGCUAAUGACGGUACCGGAAGAAUAAGCACCGGCUAACUACGUG